UCAAAGGAAUUCCAAAGAAACAAUAAAAAAUCUUAAAGAAAUAUUAGAAUGAUUAUAAACAUAUCUCAAAUACAUCUCAAUUCAAUCUUAAUUUAAUCCUACUUGAAAUCUUAUUAGACUGCAUUCAAAAUUUAGGCCAAAAACUAACUAAAUCUUAAAUUCUAAAUAAAUUCAAAUAAAACUCUAAAUCCUAAAUAAAAUCCUGAUCAAACCUAAUCAAACCUUAAAUCCUAAAUCAAAUCCUAAUCCUAAAUCAAAUCCUAACCAAAUUCUAACCAAAUUAUAAUCAAAUUUUAAUCCUAAAUAAAAUCUUAACCAAAUUCUAAUCCUAAUCCUAAAUCCUAAACCAAAUUCUAAUCCUAAUCCUAAAUCCUAAAUCAAACCCUAAUUAAAUCCUAAUCCUAAAUCAAAUCCUAACCAAUCCUAAACCAAUUUCUAAAUUCUAAAUCAAACCCUAAUCAAAUCCUAAUUGUAAAUCAAAUCCUAACUAAAUCCUAAUCCUAAAUCAAAUCUUAACCAAACUCUAACCCUAAAUCAAAUCCUA
rnacentral:lncRNA from 1 species